rnacentral:rRNA from 1 species
GAUGAACGCUAGCGGCAGGCUUAAUACAUGCAAGUCGAGGGGCAGCAGUUUUGUAGCAAUACAGAAGCUGGCGACCGGCGAACGGGUGCGGAACACGUACGCAACCUUCCUUUAACUGGGAGAUAGCCCACCGAAAGGUGGAUUAAUAUCCCAUAAUAUAACUGAAUGGCAUCAUUUAGCUAUUAAAGCUCCGGCGGUUAAAGAUGGGCGUGCGUCUGAUUAGGUAGUUGGCGGGGUAACGGCCCACCAAGCCUUCGAUCAGUAGCUGAUGUGAGAGCAUGAUCAGCCACACGGGCACUGAGACACGGGCCCGACUCCUACGGGAGGCAGCAGUAAGGAAUAUUGGUCAAUGGACGCAAGUCUGAACCAGCCAUGCCGCGUGGAGGAUGAAGGCCCUCUGGGUUGUAAACUUCUUUUCUUUGGGACGAAACCCCUGUUUCUACGGGGACUGACGGUACCAGAGGAAUAAGCACCGGCUAACUCCGUGCCAGCCGCCGCAGUAAAAC